UACUUCUAAAGGACAAAAAGACCCUAAAGAGCUCCGUUAAUAUUUAUUAAUAAUAAUUAUUAUUUAUAUAUAACACCUACUUCAAAUAUUAACUUAACUGGGGCGGUUAAGGAAUAAUUUUAAUCUUCCAUCUACAAACYUAACGAUUUACAUAUCUACUAACAAUUGAUCCUUAUAAGAACACAGAAAAAAGCUACCUUAGGGAUAACAGAUUAAUCCUCCUCAAGAGUACACAUUGACAGGAGGGAUUGACACCUCGAUGUUGGCUUAGGGUUACUUGAGGGUAGCAGAAG
rnacentral:rRNA from 1 species